AAGAUUUUAAGUUAAUUAAACUAUUAAUUUUCAAAGUUAAAAAUAUUUAAUUAUUAAUUAAAUAAAUUUUA
rnacentral:tRNA from 1 species